GAUGAACGCUGGCGGCGUGCUUAACACAUGCAAGUCGAACGGUGAAGGCGGAGCUUGCUCUGCUGGAUCAGUGGCGAACGGGUGAGUAACACGUGAGCAACCUGCCCCUGACUCUGGGAUAAGCGCUGGAAACGGCGCCUAAUCCUGGAUACGAGCCGCGCAAGCAUCUUCAGCAGCUGGAAAGAAUUUCGGUCAGGGAUGAGCUCGCGGCUUACCAGCUUGCUGGUGAGGUAAUGGCUCACCGAGGCGUCGACGGGUAGCCGGCCUGGGAGCGUGACCGGCCACACUGGGACUGCGACACGGCCCAGACUCCUACGGGAGGCAGCAGUGGGGAAUAUUGCACAGUGGGCGAGAGCCUGAUGCAGCAACGCCGCGUGAGUGACGACGGCCUUCGGGUUGUAAACCUCUUUUAGCAGGGAAGAAGCGAAAGUGACGGUACCUGCAGAAAAAGCGCCGGCUAACUACGUG
rnacentral:rRNA from 1 species